GACGUCUAAAAGUACGAUACAUUAGUUAUCUGGAAUGUGGACAAUACUUGUACAUUAUAGUUACAAAUGCAGCAACAGGACUUUAGCUAUGUAACGAUAACAUCUCCAAGCACAACCAAAUUACUAUUGAACUUUGGUUCAACUUUUAUAUGAUUACUCCAUGCGAACAUAUGUUAUAACGACACGUUAUAACACCAUAUUGGUUUAUCUACAUAUUAUUCCUAAGGCAAUGAGUAUCGUAAACCCCUGUGACGGAUAUAUCAGGCGGAUAUAUGGCAGGGUAGACAGAAUGUAAGCCCUUAGUCCUUGGUCAAGUUCGAGAUCCAACUAGUCACUACUUCCAGGCCACUUCAACUACUUACCACUACCAAGAAGACCGAUGGACACAGAUGAAGAAAAAUAAAUCGCGUGGAUUAUUUUGUAAAAUAAGAAAAAAAAAAAAAAAAAAUAACUCGCGUGGAUUGUAUUUUUAUUUAAAUACUCUCUCAUUUUUUGUUGUUAGGUUACCUUAAUAUUUUUAUUAGCUAAGUUAAUCAAGCAUAUUUCAGAACUGAUGAUUAACCCCCGGCAAAACUUUGUCGAAAUAUUAUCGUCAAAUAUUCGCAUAUCGCUUACUUGUAAUUUUGCCCUAUGUGCACUCAGCAUAAAAUUUAUAGUAGUCAAAUACUUAUUUAAUGGUUUAAGGCGUUUGCUUACCGUUUAAUUAUUUUUGUUGCUCCUACUCUAGCAUUUAGAUUUUUGAUCAGAUUUUUGAUUGCUGUUUUGCAUUUAAGUUAAAAGCAUUAAAUCAAUUAAAUAUGAUUUAAUCCUUUUUCCUAGAAAGGGGCGAAUGUUAUACUUUAACGUUUACCCAGGUCAUUAUGAUAUCUAGCAUUCCAUCUUUCAUGUAUAUUCGUAUAUUUCAGUUUAUACAUGAAAUACCUUAACCGGUCACACAGGUAUACGCGUGACAUGUAGUUGACCCGAUCAAAUGGGCAUUGGUCAAACAUAUAUUUAGAAAGAAGUUAAUAAUAACUAUGUCCUCAUGUCUAGACAGUCAAAGGUCACAUAAUUGUUAUAAAACCCAUAGACCACGGUACUGUGGCGCGCACUGUUAGAUAGAUACUUGUAGAGUAUACACAUUAUUUUCCCAGCCACCAAUUCUGCGUCAGGGUGUGCUGUAUUGAAAGACAUUUUGGGACUAUUUUACUAUUAACUGUUUCAUCUAGUUUGACUUGUAUAUACGUUAAUACAGAGAGAGGCUCGCGUGUGAUUAUUUCUGCAUAUUCUAGUUAACAAUUAAUACAUUAUAUAAAGCUGACAGUGUGUUUGUUUAUUUUCCAUCUCUUCUCGUUUCACAUACAUAUGAGCUCUUGAUUACCCACCAAAGACACAACGCGAAGGAACAAUAUUCUAUACGAUCACGUAACACCAGCCGUAGGGUAACAUUUGUUAAAGACUGAAUCGGUGUGAAUGUAAACAAUGACUGGCACUGUAAAAGGAUUAAUUUUGAAACAAAAGCUUUUCAGUGGAGGGGAUUUUGAUCAAGGGGAUUUUGAUAUACACUCGAAUAUUUUGCCAAAAAAAAAUACUUCUGGUAUAUAUUAAGAAUUCCUUAGAUGUCACAGUCUUUUCAAUAUUUUACACAUUGAUUAGCAGCCACCAUCAGCGCUUUGAGCGCUUUGAUUUCAUAUUGUACUAGAUCACAGUAAAAUGUUUUAAGAGCUUUUAAAUGAAAAUUUCUUUCGAAGAAUUUUUUAGGAUUCUUUUUGAAUGCACAUCUUAACAUAUUUUUUUGCAGAAUUGAAUUCGGGCGUGGGAUGAGGGGCAUGGGAUGGGAAAGGGUGGAUGCACACAUUUUUAAGGUACAUGUAAGCUGUAAAACUGUUUUAAAUAUAUACUGCAAUCCAUUAGGACUUUUACUUUUAAUUCUUAAAAGCAGGCAAGUUUUAAAUGAACUCUUUUUAUAUUUUCGGUGGGUGGGGUUGGUCUUGGGAAUAUUUUAACAAUAUGGAAUGCCUUUUUAGUCGACAAUCAUCAGAUGGUGGGCUAUUCAAAUCACUCUGCGUCCAUGGUCCGUCCAUCUGUUAACAAUUUAUCGUUAUUGCAUCUCCUCAGAAACUUCUGAGGCCAUUUUGACCAAACUUUGUCAGAAUGAUGUAUUGGUACCCUAGUUGUGUCUCCCUGAAAAUCAGACUGGUUCAACACUUUUUGAGUGAGUUAUGGCCAUUUGUUUAUUUUUAUAAUUUACAAAGAUUUAUAUAGGAAAAAACUUUGAAACUUUUCUUGUCCAAAGCAACAGAGCCUAGGGCUUUGAUAUUUGGUAUGUAGCAUCAUCUAGUGGUCCUCUACCAAGAUGAUUCAAAUUAUUUCCCUGGGGUCAAAUGUGGCCCUGCCCCGGGGGUCACAUGGUUUAUAUAGGGAAAAACUUUGAAAAAACUCUUGUCCAAAACUACAGGGCCUAGGGCUUUGAUAUAUUAUAUGUAACAUCAUCUAGUGGUCUUCUCUUAAGAUUGUUCAAAUUAUUCCUCUAGGGUCAAAUAUGGCCCCGCCCUGGGGGUCACAUGAUUUACAUAAACAUAUAGGGAAAAACUUUGAAAAUCUUCUUGUCCAAAACACAAAGCCUAGGGCUUUGAUAUUUGUAGUGUAGCAUCAUCUAAUGGUUCUCUACCAAGUUUGUUCAAAUUAUCCCCCUAGGAUCAAAUAUGGCCCCGCCCCGGGGGUCACAUGGUUCCUAUAGACUUACAUAUGGAAAAGCUUUUAAAAUCUUCUUGUCAAUAACCUACAACAUUUAAAUUUGGACCACAUGUAUAGUUUUGAGUGGCAAGAUGAACCUUGACAUGAGUUGACCUUGAUUUUGACCUAGUGACCUCUUUCACAUUUCUCAAGCUACAGCCUUCAAAUUUGGACCAAAUGCAUAGUGUAGUGCACCGAAAAAAACUUUAACCUUGACAUUGACCUAGUUUUGUGUUCCCAAAUGAAAUUUGACCUAGUGACCUACUUUUACUUUUCUCAAGCGACAGCCUUCAAAUUUGGACCACAUGCAUAGCUUUGUGUACCGAAAUGAACUUUGAUCUUGAGAUUGACCUAGUGACCUACUUUUACAUUUCUGAAGCUACAGGCUUCAAAUUUGGACCACAUGCAUAUUUUUGUGUUCUUAAUUGAAAUUUGACAUUGAUUUUUACGUAGUACCUACUUUCACAUUUCUCAAGCUACAGCCUCCAGAUUUUAAGCACAUACAUAGUUUUGUAUACCGAAAUGAACUUUGAUCUUGGAAUUGAUCUACUGACCUACUUUCAUAUUUCUCAAGCUACAGCUUUCAAAUUUGGACCACAUGCAUGGACCACAUGCACAGUGUUGUGUACCGAAAUGAAAUUUGACCUUGAUUUUGACCUUGAGCUAGUCUUGAAAUUUGGACAUUCAAAAAUGGUUCAAUGGUGGGCGCCAAGAUCACUCUGUGAUCUCUUGUUUAAGCUAGAACCUUUGGAACUGCAGAUUACCUUGUUGGCAGUAAAACAAAUUUCGCACUUUAUUGUUGAUAUUUUAACUGUUACCAUGGGAAUCUACACUGCUGAUAUUUUUUUUUUGUUUUCUUGUUUAUUUACAUUCUGUACAUAUACAUUAUUUUCUAAAAGUAAUCCAGCACUAGCAGUUAAUGUUAAAGCCAUUUAAUGAUUAAAUUAUUUUUAUGUUCAAUAGUUACCUUCAUGAAUUUUAUGGCUUACUUAGAGAUAGCAUACAUGCUUGAUGAAAAGAAAAAUAUUUCAUAAAACUGAUACAUUGUAUUCAUAUAUAAUUUCUGUCAAACUUAAUUUGGGUGAUUUUGAUAUGAGGAAAUUACAGUGAGUAAAUUAAUUCUUGAAUCCAAGAUUACCAAGAUUAUGUAGACAAUUUUAUCAAGGUGCUUUAAUUAAAGGAAGAUCAUGCAUUUCAUACUGAAGAAACUUUAUUAGUUUUAUUGAUAAAACAAUAGCUCCAUUUACAGUUAGCACUCAAAAUAUAUAUUCUCUUACAUGUAUGAUUUAACAAAUAAUCAAGGCCUUCACGUGUUUUAUCAUCUGAAUUACCAUGGUUCAGAGUUCAGAUGUGUAGGAAUUGAACCACGAGGGCGUUAGCCCAAGUGGUUAAAUACUGAAGCAUCCGAACGAUGAACCGUGGUAAAUUAGACGAUAAAUCACAAGAAGGCCUUGAUUGUUUUCAUUUUGACAUGCUCAUUGAUAUACUUUAAUAAGUAUUACGCUGGACUUCAUUUACCCGAGGAGUAAUGUAUCGGAUGUCAUGCGGCAAUUUGACGUCAUAAUUGACGUCAUAAUGCUCUCUUACCGGUCUGCACGUCAACCAUUGUUUAUCACAGAAUAUACAGAGCUUGAUUUCCUUUUUUGUUUAACUGGAAAUCAAACCCAGUCAUGUUAGAAUGUGUUUUUAAAUACAAAUACAUGGCAUUUAUAUAGCGCAAAAAAUUAUUAAAUAUUCUAUUGCACUUUACAAUUGCACAACACACAUUUAAAAUAUAUACAUACAAAAUAUGAACAGGAUUCUAGAACUUAGAUUUAGAGAUUUGGACAUGUAUAAAUACUAUUUUACACCACUUCUGAUAUUUUGUAUUUUAACAAGACUACACUCAUUGUUCAUGAAACUGCCUAAAUAAAUGUGUUUUCAGUUUUGAUUUAAAGCUGGCUUCAGACUGAAUGUUUUUCAGAUAGCUAGGCAGAUCGUUCUACAAUUUGGGACCAACGACUGCUAAUUUUGUUCGCCAUCUGGGGAUGUUAAAGUUAGUGUCACUUUGUGAGUGAAGUCUGUAUCGUUGUCGAGUAUGUGCUUGUACCAGGGAAAGACCUACAAGACUGCAGACAAUUGGGAAGAUGGAUGUACAUACACGUGUAUCUGUGUGGAAGGUAUGUCCGGACAGUACAAAUAUACUGAGAGAUUUAGACAAUUUUCUGUUGUCUUUACAGAGCGAUAGAAUGUGAGAGUUCGUUGUGGUUCAGACUUUUGCUCAAGACAUUAUUUCAGAGAAUUUACUUUUCUUGGAACCACACGGUGUGAGAGAAACAUCGACGGCACGGGACAUUAUGUUUAGUGAUUUUUAUACGCACGUCUGGCAUGUUCCGGAUGACUCGCUUUAAGGUCAAGGUCACACUUAAGGGUCAAAGGUCAUAUAUGACUUUGCUUUGUGUAUAUUGCUCUGCAUUGCAGUGCACUUAUUUUUAUUUGGCAGAUCUCUUUUUUUGUACUUACAAUAAUUUUUUUUUGAAUUACUUCCCUUUUAUGUUACUAUAAAUAGCUUAUUUUGAAACUUUUUUAUUAUUGGCCGUAGGGAAAAACCGAGACCACUUUUCUGUGGUACAACAUGGAUGGUACCUCCAAAUUUAAGGUGUAUUUUUACAUAACUGUUCCUGAUAAAGAUUUUUUUGUAGACUUUGAAUUUUUUUUUGUGGACUUAGAUUUGUUUUUUUUUAAAGUUUUCCUUUUGUUGUUCCAGUCCUUUGGGGCUUCAACAGUCAAGUUCUUAAAAUUUUGCUCCUAUCCUAUGAUGUAAGCCUUUGGGCGUAUAUUGCCCCGCUUGGCGGCGCUCUUGUUCUUAUAUAUGUUAAGUGUAGAGACACAACAUCAGUGGUAUAUAGUGAUUUUUUUUCUGGUGUCGUCGACACGUGUGCGUGUAAAUGUAAUUAUUUAUGAGGAUAAUUGACGCAUUAAAGUGAACCUGUUGUUGACCACUCCUAUAUCGUGUUUUGUUGUUUCUUUAAUAUUCCAUUGAAUAUUAUUAAGUAUGUUAGAUGAUAAAUUAUUUAUGUUUGGCUGAACGAAAUGAAAGAAAACAUAAUUUCACAUUUCUCAAGCUACAGCCUUCAAAUUUGAAGCACAUGCAUAGUUUUGUGUA